rnacentral:rRNA from 1 species
AACGCUAGCUACAGGCUUAACACAUGCAAGUCGAGGGGCAGCGGGAUUGAAGCUUGCUUCAAUUGCCGGCGACCGGCGCACGGGUGAGUAACGCGUAUCCAACCUUCCGUACACUCAGGGAUAGCCUUUCGAAAGAAAGAUUAAUACCUGAUGGUAUCUUAAGCACACAUGUAAUUAAGAUUAAAGAUUUAUCGGUGUACGAUGGGGAUGCGUUCCAUUAGGUAGUAGGCGGGGUAACGGCCCACCUAGCCAACGAUGGAUAGGGGUUCUGAGAGGAAGGUCCCCCACAUUGGAACUGAGACACGGUCCAAACUCCUACGGGAGGCAGCAGUGAGGAAUAUUGGUCAAUGGACGAGAGUCUGAACCAGCCAAGUAGCGUGAAGGAUGAAGGUCCUACGGAUUGUAAACUUCUUUUAUAAGGGAAUAAACCCUCCCACGUGUGGGAGCUUGUAUGUACCUUAUGAAUAAGCAUCGGCUAACUCCGUGCCAGCAGCCGCGGUAAUACGGAGGAUGCGAGCGUUAUCCGGAUUUAUUGGGUUUAAAGGGAGCGCAGACGGGUCGUUAAGUCAGCUGUGAAAGUUUGGGGCUCAACCUUAAAAUUGCAGUUGAUACUGGCGUCCUUGAGUGCGGUUGAGGUGUGCGGAAUUCGUGGUGUAGCGGUGAAAUGCUUAGAUAUCACGAAGAACUCCGAUUGCGAAGGCAGCUCACUGGAGCGCAACUGACGCUGAAGCUCGAAAGUGCGGGUAUCGAACAGGAUUAGAUACCCUGGUAGUCCGCACGGUAAACGAUGGAUGCCCGCUGUUGGUCUGAAUAGGUCAGCGGCCAAGCGAAAGCAUUAAGCAUCCCACCUGGGGAGUACGCCGGCAACGGUGAAACUCAAAGGAAUUGACGGGGGCCCGCACAAGCGGAGGAACAUGUGGUUUAAUUCGAUGAUACGCGAGGAACCUUGCCCGGGCUUGAAUUGCAGAGGAAGGAUUUGGAGACAAUGACGCCCUUCGGGGUCUCUGUGAAGGUGCUGCAUGGUUGUCGUCAGCUCGUGCCGUGAGGUGUCGGCUUAAGUGC